ensembl:lncRNA
UUUGCAAAACUAACAGAAAUUGUAAUUUGCAAUAUUUCAUACGAAAUGGGUGAUGGACAGCCACAAAUUAAUACAUACUAUACGAAACGUAGCAUAUCGUACUAAAUGGAGUGUCUCGGAUUUACGUAGAGAAUAAUGCGAAAUGCUCUGAGACCAGGUUGGGAAAUGGUGGAGCGAUUUCAGCAUAGAGCAUCUUUAAAUAAAAUUACUUUAAUAUGGCUAUUUAAAUCAGAUAAAUACCAAUGUGGCUCCAACCUACCUCAUUUGUUGAACAAAACACAAUGUACUACAACACUAAUGAGUUCUACAUAAUGUCAUCAUGUAGUCCUAUUAAAAUAAUAAUGUGGCGCAGUGGUCUACUCUGGGUUUGAGCCCAGGCUCUGUCGCAGCCGGCCGCAAACCGAGAGGUCCAUGGGGCGACGCACAAUUGGCCUAUCGUCAUCCGGGUUAGGGAGGGUUUGGCCGGUAGGGAUAUCCUUGUAUCAUCGCGCACUAGCGACUCCUGUGGCGGGCGCAGUGCACGCUGACCAGGUCGCUAAGUGUACGGUGUUUCCUAAGACACAUUGGUGCGGCUGGCUUCCGGGUUGGAUGCGCACUGUGUUAAGAAGCAGUGCGGCUUGGUUGGGUUGUGUUUCGGAGGACGCAUGACUUUCGACCUUCGUAUCUCCCGAGCCCGUAUGGGAGUUGUAGCGAUGAGACAAGACAGUAACUACUAACAAUUGGAUACCAUGAAAUUGGGGAGAAAAAGGGGGUAAAAAAAUACAUUAAAAUAAUAAUGUACUCAUUCUCUAACUGUAUCAUACUGAAUUCAUGUGUCAGCUUUUUUUUUUUAAACACACAGGAAUCUACGUCAACAUAAUGGGAGUAGAUAUUUAAAAAAAGAUGUGGAUAUUUUGGGUUAGAAAAUGUUGGAAGCACCAAAACUAUAUGACAGGUUCUUGGCAAAUCAUUCCAGAUAUAUUUUUUAUUAAUGCGAGUCAGUGGAAGAAUUGUGGUAUUCUGUUGUUUGAAGGUUGUAGAACAUAGGAAUUUGGUGGGAGUUGCAGGGCUUGAGGAAAGAACAGCUAUUUCUUUGGCCCUUCAACCUAUUCCACAUGCUGGAUGGGGCACUCCUCAGACAGAGGGUGGGAGCUUGGCACGGACACAGACGAUUAGCGGAGGGGUUGCCGUGUCAGGUUUGAGCCCUGACCUGGGACAAGUGGAACUGCCAGGAAGAAACAGAAACUCCAUGGUCGCCUUGGGCCAUUAGAACAAACUGGACUUCCAGUGGCCCCAAUAACAAAGAAGAUACGAAACAGAUGGCCCAAAGUGGGAAGAGACAGCCCUGAAGAGGAGGACAAAGUGAAGUUGAACAGAUUCUUGACUGGACUGGGAUAUGAUGAGUGUGAAAGGAAGGAUGAGAGAAAGAACACUUGUGAUGGAUGACAAAAUUUGAGUGAGGAGUGAAAAGAAAACAAAAAGAUGGAUGGUCAUAGACAUCUCUCUCUCUCUUGCGAUACAAUUCUAAAAUAAGGGAUUUUAUUGUUUCAAAUAAGGGAACAUUGGUAUGUAUGAGAAUAGAGAUGCAUUUACUCCACAACGUACAUGAAAACGAUAUAAAUUAUUUAAUCUUGUACUAUACUCGUUUUCUAUACAAUUCAUAUGGUAGCUUAAUGUCUUCUCUAAAUGUAUUUUAUACAUUCAGGCUGACAUUUCAAUACUGUGUGUUGAUGGAGCAAACAAUAACUCUUUGAUAUGGUCGUUUCAUCAAAGAAAUAGACAAUAUUCUGGGGUGGAAAUAAAGACUUGGAUUAUCAUUGACAGUGAUUAGAUAGAGUACAUUAGAAAAGGCUGCUUGUUGAAUCUUGCUUUCGUCUAUGGUAAAGUCUGCUCCCAAUUGAACAUGGCUGCUGCAUAAUAACAUUAUUUACAAAUGUCUCGUGAUCCAUUAUGUGAGAGAGAAGUCUACAGUAAGACAAGUCAUGCUCCCAUGAACAAAUGUGAAACAUACACAUAUCGUACACAUAUCGUACAUAUUUCAGAAUUGUACUUGCAGAAUCUAUACAACAUAUUUAGUGUGAUUUAUCUUCUUGUUUUGAGUGUAGGCCUAUAUAGGCUAGGUGUUUGCAAUAUGGACCAUACAUGGAUGACAGAUUGUGGUAUAUAUGUUGUGUGAUUGUGCUGUACAUAACACAUGUUCAUGUAGUGUGUGUACAGACAGUAUGAUUGUACAGGAAGGGAGUUAUGUCUGUAAAUUCCUAUGUCUAUAUGAUGUAAAGUUAUCAUUAUUGGAGAGAGAGGUUCAAGAUCCCUAAAGAUAAAAUACAUUUAAAAAAACUGCUGUCAGAUGUUACGAUGACAUUUCCCUAAGGUAUUUUAAUGUUCCUGUCAAACAUUUGUUAAAAAAACAGUCAAUAUAUAUAUAUUUUUGAUAUAAAUUGAUAUGACUACAAGAUGUGAUUUACUAGAGUCUGCUGUUGCUUGUUCAUCUUCAAGAUAUAUAUUGUUUUUGGUCGGGAUAUAUAUUGUUUUUGGUCUGGUUUGACUAGCUAACAGUGAUUUAGCUUUUCUACACCACUGUUACAUCACUAUGAGGUUAUUUGAUAACAGACAGGCGAAACAAGUGCCACAGGGCUUUGGAAAUCUCACUGGGCAACUAGAGAAGGUAAGUUUCACACAAAAACUUUGGAAAGGAUUAUUAAAUUGGCUUUAAAGCCUUGACACCUACCUGAAAAACAGCAGCAGCUAAUUUCAACUGCUCAAAACUGUCCAUUGUGUAAAUGACAGGAAUGGAGUUAAUCCAAUUUUACAAGACACUAAUCCCACAGAAAGAACGCAAACAAUAGUUAGUUAUCCAGUAUGUACUUCAGCAACGUGAACUAGAGUGUAGUACAACACUAAUGAGUUCUACAUAAUGUCAUCAUGUAGUCCUAUUAAAAUAAUAAUGUACUCAUUCUCUAACUGUAUCAUACUGAAUUCAUGUACCUCUAAAUACUCUAAUCAAGUAGAAUAUAAAUGUGUUGCAACUGAGAGGCAGUAAAGGCUGUCAAUAUGUAUGAUACAUUUGUCGGGCUGGUAACUAAAGACAAAAGAUAGUGAUAUCUGUAUAUUGUAUAUUGUACAAUUUACUGCAAUGGAUGAAAAAUCUCAAUAUGCAUAUUGCAUCAUUAUUCAAAGUUAUUUUUCAAAAUAAAGUUGACAUUUCCU